UACGUAGGGGGCAAGCGUUGUCCGGAUUUAUUGGGCGUAAAGAGCGUGUAGGCGGCCAAGCAGGUCCGCUGUGAAAACUCGAGGCUCAACCUCGAGACGUCGGUGGAAACCGUUUGGCUAGAGUCCGGAAGAGGAGAGUGGAAUUCCCGGUGUAGCGGUGAAAUGCGCAGAUAUCGGGAAGAACACCCGUGGCGAAGGCAGCUCUCUGGGACGGUACUGACGCUGAGACGCGAAAGCGUGGGGAGCGAACAGG
rnacentral:rRNA from 1 species